rnacentral:rRNA from 1 species
AGAGUUUGAUCAUGGCUCAGAUUGAACGCUGGCGGCAGGCCUAACACAUGCAAGUCGAACGGUAACAGGAAGCAGCUUGCUGCUUCGCUGACGAGUGGCGGACGGGUGAGUAAUGUCUGGGAAGCUGCCUGAUGGAGGGGGAUAACUACUGGAAACGGUAGCUAAUACCGCAUAAUGUCGCAGGACCAAAGAGGGGGACCUUCGGGCCUCUUGCCAUCGGAUGUGCCCAGAUGGGAUUAGCUUGUUGGUGGGGUAACGGCUCACCAAGGCGACGAUCCCUAGCUGGUCUGAGAGGACGACCAGCCACACUGGAACUGAGACACGGUCCAGACUCCUACGGGAGGCAGCAGUGGGGAAUAUUGCACAAUGGGCGCAAGCCUGAUGCAGCCAUGCCGCGUGUAUGAAGAAGGCCUUCGGGUUGUAAAGUACUUUCAGCGGGGAGGAAGGGAGUAAAGUUAAUACCUUUGCUCAUUGACGUUACCCGCAGAAGAAGCACCGGCUAACUCCGUGCCAGCAGCCGCGGUAAUACGGAGGGUGCAAGCGUUAAUCGGAAUUACUGGGCGUAAAGCGCACGCAGGCGGUUUGUUAAGUCAGAUGUGAAAUCCCCGGGCUCAACCUGGGAACUGCAUCUGAUACUGGCAAGCUUGAGUCUCGUAGAGGGGGGUAGAAUUCCAGGUGUAGCGGUGAAAUGCGUAGAGAUCUGGAGGAAUACCGGUGGCGAAGGCGGCCCCCUGGACGAAGACUGACGCUCAGGUGCGAAAGCGUGGGGAGCAAACAGGAUUAGAUACCCUGGUAGUCCACGCCGUAAACGAUGUCGACUUGGAGGUUGUGCCCUUGAGGCGUGGCUUCCGGAGCUAACGCGUUAAGUCGACCGCCUGGGGAGUACGGCCGCAAGGUUAAAACUCAAAUGAAUUGACGGGGGCCCGCACAAGCGGUGGAGCAUGUGGUUUAAUUCGAUGCAACGCGAAGAACCUUACCUGGUCUUGACAUCCACGGAAGUUUUCAGAGAUGAGAAUGUGCCUUCGGGAACCGUGAGACAGGUGCUGCAUGGCUGUCGUCAGCUCGUGUUGUGAAAUGUUGGGUUAAGUCCCGCAACGAGCGCAACCCUUAUCCUUUGUUGCCAGCGGUCCGGCCGGGAACUCAAAGGAGACUGCCAGUGAUAAACUGGAGGAAGGUGGGGAUGACGUCAAGUCAUCAUGGCCCUUACGACCAGGGCUACACACGUGCUACAAUGGCGCAUACAAAGAGAAGCGACCUCGCGAGAGCAAGCGGACCUCAUAAAGUGCGUCGUAGUCCGGAUUGGAGUCUGCAACUCGACUCCAUGAAGUCGGAAUCGCUAGUAAUCGUGGAUCAGAAUGCCACGGUGAAUACGUUCCCGGGCCUUGUACACACCGCCCGUCACACCAUGGGAGUGGGUUGCAAAAGAAGUAGGUAGCUUAACCUUCGGGAGGGCGCUUACCACUUUGUGAUUCAUGACUGGGGUGAAGUCGAAACAAGGUAACCGCAGGGUACCUGCGGUUG